UGGGGAAUAUUGGACAAUGGGGGCAACCCUGAUCCAGCAAUGCCGCGUGUGUGAAGAAGGUCUUCGGAUUGUAAAGCACUUUCGACGGGGACGAUGAUGACGGUACCCGUAGAAGAAGCCCCGGCUAACUUCGUGCCAGCAGCCGCGGUAAUACGAAGGGGGCUAGCGUUGCUCGGAAUGACUGGGCGUAAAGGGCGUGUAGGCGGUUUACACAGUCAGAUGUGAAAUCCCCGGGCUUAACCUGGGAGCUGCAUUUGAUACGUGUAGACUAGAGUGUGAGAGAGGGUUGUGGAAUUCCCAGUGUAGAGGUGAAAUUCGUAGAUAUUGGGAAGAACACCGGUGGCGAAGGCGGCAACCUGGCUCAUGACUGACGCUGAGGCGCGAAAGCGUGGGGAGCAAACAGGUUAGAUACCCUGGUAGUCCACGCUGUAAACGAUGUGUGCUAGAUGUUGGGUAACUUUGGUU
rnacentral:rRNA from 1 species